GUAUAGUAAUGCGUUAAGGAUUGAUGCGGCAUCCUUUUUUAUUUUUCUUAAAAAAGAUAUAGCGGAAAGCCUGACCAAGA
rnacentral:sRNA from 1 species